UUUCCUGUUGAGGAAGCAAAGGCGCAAAGAGAUCCUGUGUUCUCCCCAAGGCCACACAGCUAGAAAGUGGCAGAGCAUGAUUUGGAUCCUGCUUGUCUAACUCCAGGCUGUGAGCUGGGAAAGAGCUUCUCAUGUUGGGAGCUGCAAGAUAGCAGAGAGGCCGGCGCGACCUGGAGAUUGAGCGACCAAUGCCGGGAACCCACACAGUCACCCUGCAGUGCCCUGCUCUGUUGGUGGUUGGGGACAGCUCGCCUGCGGUGGAUGCUGUGGUGGAGUGCAACUCGAAAUUGGACCCAACAAAGACCACUCUCCUCAAGAUGGCAGACUGUGGCGGCCUCCCGCAGAUCUCCCAGCCGGCCAAGCUCGCUGAGGCCUUCAAGUACUUCGUGCAGGGCAUGGGAUACAUGCCCUCGGCUAGCAUGACCCGCCUGAUGCGGUCCCGCACAGCCUCUGGUUCCAGUGUCACUUCUCUGGAUGGCACCCGCAGCCGCUCCCACACCAGCGAGGGCACCCGAAGCCGCUCCCACACCAGCGAGGGCACCCGCAGCCGCUCCCACACCAGCGAGGGGGCCCACCUGGACAUCACCCCCAACUCGGGUGCUGCUGGGAACAACACCGGGCCCAAGUCCAUGGAGGUCUCCUGCUAGGCGCCUGCCCAGCUGCCGCCCCCGGACUCUGAUCUCUGUAGUGGCCCCCUCCUCCCCAGCCCCUUUUCGCCCCCUGCCUGCCACGCUGCGCCUAACUCGGUAUUAAUCCAAAGCUUAUUUUGUAAGAGUGAGCUCUGGUGGAGACAAAUGGGGUCUAUUACGUGGGUGCCCUCUCCAAAGGCGGGGUGGCGGUGGACCAAAGGAAGGAAGCAAGCAUCUCCGCAUCGCAUCCUCUUCCAUUAACCAGUGGCCGGUUGCCACUCUCCUCCCCUCCCUCAGAGACGCCAAACUGCCAAAAACAAGACACGUAGCAGCACACACUUCACAAAGCCAAGCCUAGGCUGCCCUGAGCAUCCUGGUUCAAACGGGUGCCUGGUCAGAAGGCCAGCCGCCCACUUCCCGUUUCCUCUUUAACUGAGGAGAAGCUGAUCCAGUUUCCGGAAACAAAAUCCUUUUCUCAUUUGGGGAGGGGGGUAAUAGUGACAUGCAGGCACCUCUUUUAAACAGGCAAAACAGGAAGGGGGAAAAGGUGGGAUUUAUGUCGAGGCUAGAGGCAUUUGGAACAACAAAUCUAUGUAGUUAACUUGAAGAAACCGAUUUUUAAAGUUGGUGCAUCUAGAAAGCUUUGAAUGCAGAAGCAAACAAGCUUGGUUUUUCUAGCAUCCUCUUAAUGUGCAGCAAAAGCAGGCAACAAAAUCUCCUGGCUUUACAGACAAAAAUAUUUCAGCAAACGUUGGGCAUCGUGGUUUUUGAAGGCUUUAGUUCUGCUUUCUGCCUCUCCUCCACAGCCCCAACCUCCCAACCCUGAUACAUGAGCCGGUGAUUAUUCUUGUUCAGGGAGAAGAUCAUUUAGGUUUGUUUUGCAUUCCUUGGAAUGGAGGGCAACAUUCCACAGCUGCCCUGGCUGUGAUGAGUGUCCUUGCAGGGGCUGGGGUAGGAACAUUGGGGUGGGGGCGGAAUUGGGGUUACUCGAUGUAAGGGAUUCCUUGUGGUUGUGUUGAGAUCCAGUGCAGUUGUGCUUUCUGUGGAUCCCAGCUUGGUUCCAGGAAUUUUGUGUGAUUGGGUUAAAUCCAGUUUUCAAUCUUCGACAGCUGGGCUAGAAAGUGAACUCAGUAGCUGAACCUGUCUGACCUGGUCACGUUCUUGGAUCCUCAGAACUCUUUGCUCUUGUGGGGGUGGGGGUGGGAACUCAUGUGGGGAGCGGUGGCUGAGAAAAUGUAAGGAUUCUGGAAUACGUAUUCCAUGGGACUUUCCUUCCCUCUCCUGCUUCCUCUUUUCCUGCUCCCUAACCUUUUGCCGAAUGGGGCAGCACCACUGACAUUUCUGGGUGGCCAGUGCGGCUGCCAGGCUCCUGUACUACUGCCUUGUACUUUUCAUUUUGGCUUACCGUGGAUUUUCUCAUAGGAAGUUUGGUCAGAGUGAAUUGAACAUUGUAAGUCAGCCACUGGGACCCGAGGAUUUCUGGGACCCCGCAGUUGGGAGGAGGAAGUAGUCCAGCCUUCCAGGUGGCGUGAGAGGCAAUGACUCGUUACCUGCCGCCCGUCACCUUGGAGGCCUUCCCUGGCCUUGAGUAGAAAAGUCGGGGAUCGGGGCAAGAGAGGCUGAGUACGGAUGGGAAACUAUUGUGCACAAGUCUUUCCAGAGGAGUUUCUUAAUGAGAUAUUUGUAUUUAUUUCCAGACCAAUAAAUUUGUAACUUUGC
rnacentral:sRNA from 1 species